ACGGGAGGCAGCAGUGGGGAAUAUUGCACAAUGGGGGAAACCCUGAUGCAGCGACGCCGCGUGAAGGAAGAAGUAUCUCGGUAUGUAAACUUCUAUCAGCAGGGAAGAUAAUGACGGUACCUGACUAAGAAGCCCCGGCUAACUACGUGCCAGCAGCCGCGGUAAUACGUAGGGGGCAAGCGUUAUCCGGAUUUACUGGGUGUAAAGGGAGCGUAGACGGAGAAGCAAGUCUGAUGUGAAAGGCAUGGGCUCAACCUGUGGACUGCAUUGGAAACUGUUUUUCUUGAGUGCCGGAGGGGUAAGCGGAAUUCCUAGUGUAGCGGUGAAAUGCGUAGAUAUUAGGAAGAACACCAGUGGCGAAGGCGAUCUACUGGACAGUAACUGACGCUGAGGCGCGAAAGCGUGGGGAGCAAACAGGAUUAGAUACCCUGGUA
rnacentral:rRNA from 1 species